UGACAGGAAGAAUUCCAAUGGACAGCAAAUGGAGUUUAAGUCAAAUCAAUGGUUUGGGGCCACUGUGCGGUCCACUGGGGACCAUAUUCUGGCAUGUGCUCCUCUCUACCAGUGGAGCACGUAUGGAUUCUCAGAGAGAGAGCCUGUCGGGACAUGUUUCCUGAAGAAAGGCAAUAACAUUGUGGAAUAUUCACCUUGCCGCUCUAACUCAAAUUCACCUGAGGGGCAAGGAUUUU